GGACACUCUAUACGGAGUUACAAAGGACGACAUUAGACGAAUCAUCUGGAAAGAUGAAUCAAAGAAGGUAAUAAUCCUGUAGUCGAAAAUGUUGUCUCUCUUGAGUGGAUCCUGAGUACGACGGAGCACGUGAAAUUCCGUCGGAAUCUGGGAGGACCAUCUCCUAAGGCUAAAUACUCUCUAGUGACCGAUAGUGAACCAGUACCGUGAGGGAAAGGUGAAAAGCACCCCGGAAGGGGAGUGAAAUAGAACCUGAAACCGUGUGCUUACAAGUAGUCAGAGCCCGUUAAUGGGUGAUGGCGUGCCUUUUGUAGAAUGAACCGGCGAGUUACGAUUUGAUGCAAGGUUAAGCAGUAAAUGUGGAGCCGUAGCGAAAGCGAGUCUGAAUAGGGCGUUUAGUAUUUGGUCGUAGACCCGAAACCAGGUGAUCUACCCUUGGUCAGGUUGAAGUUCAGGUAACACUGAAUGGAGGACCGAACCGACUUACGUUGAAAAGUGAGCGGAUGAACUGAGGGUAGCGGAGAAAUUCCAAUCGAACCUGGAGAUAGCUGGUUCUCUCCGAAAUAGCUUUAGGGCUAGCCUCAAGUGAUGAUUAUUGGAGGUAGAGCACUGUUUGGACGAGGGGCCCCUCUCGGGUUACCGAAUUCAGACAAACUCCGAAUGCCAAUUAAUUUAACUUGGGAGUCAGAACAUGGGUGAUAAGGUCCGUGUUCGAAAGGGAAACAGCCCAGACCACCAGCUAAGGUCCCAAAAUAUAUGUUAAGUGGAAAAGGAUGUGGCGUUGCCCAGACAACUAGGAUGUUGGCUUAGAAGCAGCCAUCAUUUAAAGAGUGCGUAAUAGCUCACUAGUCGAGUGACACUGCGCCGAAAAUGUACCGGGGCUAAACAUAUUACCGAAGCUGUGGAUUGUCCUUUGGACAAUGGUAGGAGAGCGUUCUAAGGGCGUUGAAGCAUGAUCGUAAGGACAUGUGGAGCGCUUAGAAGUGAGAAUGCCGGUGUGAGUAGCGAAAGACGGGUGAGAAUCCCGUCCACCGAUUGACUAAGGUUUCCAGAGGAAGGCUCGUCCGCUCUGGGUUAGUCGGGUCCUAAGCUGAGGCCGACAGGCGUAGGCGAUGGAUAACAGGUUGAUAUUCCUGUACCACCUAUAAUCGUUUUA
rnacentral:rRNA from 1 species